rnacentral:other from 1 species
AAUACCCUGCAGUGUUCGACACUUAACGGAGUAUCUGUCCUUUACUCUUUAGCAAACGGGAGCUGACCCGAGCCAGUCGCUGUCAAGCCGUCAACCGGAAGACAAAAGCCGGCGAGGAAGCGCCCACCUUAGACACAAAAGGCUAAGAUCUCCCCUUAAAACGGCACAUGCGGGGCUUUU